rnacentral:rRNA from 1 species
CUAGAUUCGCGGCCUAUCAGCUUGUUGGUGGGGUAAUGGCCUACCAAGGCUUCGACGGGUAGCCGGCCUGAGAGGGUGACCGGCCACACUGGGACUGAGACACGGCCCAGACUCCUACGGGAGGCAGCAGUGGGGAAUAUUGGACAAUGGGCGGAAGCCUGAUCCAGCAACGCCGCGUGAGGGAUGACGGCCUUCGGGUUGUAAACCUCUUUCAGUACCGACGAAGCGAGAGUGACGGUAGGUACAGAAGAAGCACCGGCCAACUACGUGCCAGCAGCCGCGGUAAUACGUAGGGUGCGAGCGUUGUCCGGAAUUAUUGGGCGUAAAGGGCUCGUAGGCGGUUUGUCGCGUCGGGAGUGAAAACACCGGGCUUAACUCGGUGCUUGCUUUCGAUACGGGCAGACUAGAGGCAUGCAGGGGAGAACGGAAUUCCUGGUGUAGCGGUGAAAUGCGCAGAUAUCAGGAGGAACACCGGUGGCGAAGGCGGUUCUCUGGGCAUGUCCUGACGCUGAGGAGCGAAAGUGUGGGGAGCGAACAGGAUUAGAUACCCUGGUAGUCCACACCGUAAACGUUGGGCGCUAGGUGUGGGGCCUAUUCCAUGGGUUCCGUGCCGCAGCUAACGCAUUAAGCGCCCCGCCUGGGGAGUACGGAUCG